rnacentral:lncRNA from 1 species
UAGAUUUUAAACUUUAAAACCUAAAUAAGGGAGUCGACAGGUCAGUAUAAUACAGGAAAUUCUUCUGAUAUUGCAUGCUGUCCUACGUUGCAUUCUAUCAUUGCUUUCUUAUCCUGUUAACCAAAGCAAAGAAAUAAUAUGUGUAAAUAAUAGUGAGUAUUUGGUAUUGCACUCCCCUAUUUUUGCCUGUAAAAUUUAGGAGGGAACUGUGAUAUUCCCUAAGCUAAUAAUAGUUUGUAAAAGAACAUCUGCACAUCUUUUCUCCAUGUGCCCUGUUGGUUUAAUUGCCACAGAUUUACACAGAAAGAGUAUGGUGCAUCAUAACUAGGCAAUUAUCCAUUCUUCAUCACUUAGUUAUGGCUCUGCUAAUUGAUCAUUUAAGACAUUAGAUAGUCUAACAUUAGGAGAAUUUGAGAGUAUUCAAAAAAGAUCAACAAAUUAAUAUUGUUGUGUGAUAUUUGCAUAAUUGGCUGCAAUUAUUUAAUGUUUAAUUGGGUUGAUCAAAUGAGAUUCAGCCUUUCACAUGCUUAUGUUUUACAAACACUGCUACUUUAAAAUCAUAAUAACAAACUCCAAUUUUUGUAUGGUCUUUCUUCUCCCCUUCAUUCUUUUGAUGAUUAUUUUCAGUACUGAGCGUGUCCUUAAUUUUCAGUUUGGUGAGCAUGAUUCAUGUGUAGGAAAAGUCCUUCAGAUGAGAGAACUUUUCAUGAAACUGGCAUUUCAUACAAGCUGUUCUGAUGCCAAGACUUAUGGCUUCAGCAACUGGCAUUACUUAACUAGAUUCUUAACUGCAAUAAGGGCAAAUUCACUGAGAAUUUACAGUGACAGACUCUGGUGAGAAUGCUAAUAAACCUUCCUGCUUAGGGUAGAUAAUCUGUUCAGUCCAUAGAAGUGCAAAGCAAACAUUAUUUUUUCUGGGAUAUAGAAGGGAAGUCUGAUAAGACAAAAGCAAGACAGUGAGGGCUCUCUCUGCCCAGCCAUUGUUUACACUUGUUCAAUUAUUUCAAGCUAAAAAGCAGUCGACCUCCUCUUUCUAGAUGAACUCUUGUUUAGGGUUUACCUAAUUCGGAGAGAUAUCACUGAUCCCCUCCUGUAUACUUAUUUUAUACUUAUUUUUCCUUGGGCAUGAAGAAUGGUAAUUUGGAAAAAUGUGAUAUUUGAAAGGUUCAUUUGGAGUGCAAGUUAUUUGAAAUGUCUGUCUAAUGCAUGGUCUUCCAAGGAGGUAGACUGAAAACCAUCUGGAACUGAUGUCACAAAUGCCUGUUGAGAGGAGGAACCCCUCUUGAAUUCAGUGGCCUCUGUCUGUAGGCAGUGCCUUGCUAUGAAAGAGAAUACAGAGAUUGUAGCAUAGCCUGCCAGACUAUGUAUGGCACAUUGGCUCUCUCUGCAUGGGAUUCACCCUACUGGUGGUAAAUUUUAAUGUUCUAGUGGCAGGCUUGUAUACUGAGAGGUGGGCAGGUGUAAAUGAUGGCUGAGCAUGACCUGAGGUGGUCUUUUCAUUGCUGUCUUUCUCUCCCUUCCACACAGACUUGCAGUCCCUUUUCCUCAGCCUCCUACCAUGAUGCCACUUAGUCUCCUAUCUAAAAGUGACUACAAGCAAAUUUUGCAUUGUGUUCUGCUUUCAGCAGUAGUGACAGUUAGGAAAAAUAAAAAAGAAAGGCUUUUUGGUCAUCUUGCAUGUGGUCAGGGGUCAGAAUUGCACUUUACCACCUGCACAUGUAAUGCCUGAACAGACAGACUGCCACUGACUUUGUGACCCUGGACAAGUUAUGAUCUAACCUCCUUUUAAGUGCAGAGUAGUAGUGCUACCACUUGUACCACUUUUAACUGUAAUCCAGACUUUUACAUGAAAAGUUAUUUUACUGCAGAUCACAUAAGCUUUCCAGAAAGCUUUAUAAGCAGCAGAGAAAGAUGCUGUGUAGAGUCCAGUAUUUGAAGGAUUGCUUUAGAGUAGCAGUAUCUUGAUUAUGCAGGAGAAAAAUCGUAUUCAAAUAAGAAAUACAUUUAAGGCUUUCUGUAUGAACCCAUAAACAAAAUUUGUAGUUCGGAGUAUAAAGUAGCAUACAGAAAAAUCUUGAAAUGACAAUUCACCUCCACCUCUCAGACAGUGCUAUCUUAUUUAAAAGUGAUGCUUGAGGAAAGUAUUGCACCUCUCAAUGUAGAGGCAUUAGAUUACAACUAUUCUAGAGGUACACUUUGUCAUGCAGCACUGAGACAGACCUCUAUCAAUCUUGACUACAGUUUUUCUGAACUGCAGUAUUCAGCAGUUGAGAAGUGUCAAAGAGUUGUGUUUUACUGUAUUUUGUCACUGUCCUCAAGAUUUGGAAAAAUAAUUUGUAGGUCCUGAAUUAUUUAAGAUAAUUAACUUCUUAGUAAGUAUUUGUAGGUUUAGUCAUAAUAGCAAAAUUGAGUAUUGGUAUUGCACUAGUGAGAAAUACUGUUGUAGCAAUCCUUCUGUCCAUCUCUUGCUUUAAACAUUAUCAUUAUUAGUGGGAAUUUCAGGAUAUUUCCCCUGACUAUGCAAGAAUCUGAGUGCCAGCCAUAGCACACUUGGCAAAUAUGUCCCCAACUCCAUAAACAAAGCUAACUUAGCCGUUACCUUCAGGCAGAACAGUCAGGUACAUUAGGGCUUAGCAGGUAUAGAACAAUACUGAACUAGAAUAAGUCAGUCCUUGGAUUUGUAAUAAAACUUUGGCAUUAGUAGCUCAGAUUCUCAUUAACCACACUAGCAAGGUCAACCACACCCAAAUUUACUAAAAAUAAAGGUGUUUAAAUUCACUAGUAGUAACAGCAUGGCUAGAUCCUUGUCUGUCUCUGAACGUGAAUUUAUACUGUUUGGUUAUCUUAAAACUCAAUUUAUUGUGUCUGGUUUUUACCAUUUUUACCACAAUCCUGAAUUCUUUAAAAAA